AUUGAACGCUGGCGGAAUGCUUUACACAUGCAAGUCGAACGGCAGCACGGGGGCAACCCUGGUGGCGAGUGGCGAACGGGUGAGUAAUACAUCGGAACGUGCCCAGUCGUGGGGGAUAACGUAGCGAAAGCUACGCUAAUACCGCAUACGAUCUAUGGAUGAAAGCGGGGGACCGUAAGGCCUCGCGCGAUUGGAGCGGCCGAUGGCAGAUUAGGUAGUUGGUGGGGUAAAGGCUCACCAAGCCGACGAUCUGUAGCUGGUCUGAGAGGACGACCAGCCACACUGGGACUGAGACACGGCCCAGACUCCUACGGGAGGCAGCAGUGGGGAAUUUUGGACAAUGGGCGCAAGCCUGAUCCAGCCAUUCCGCGUGCAGGAUGAAGGCCCUCGGGUUGUAAACUGCUAUUGUACGGAACGAAACGGCGCUUUCUAAUACAAGGCGCUAAUGACGGUACCGUAAGAAUAAGCACCGGCUAACUACGUGCCAGCCGCCGCAGUAAAAC
rnacentral:rRNA from 1 species